ensembl:snRNA U6 U6 spliceosomal RNA
GCUCGCUUCGGCAACACAUACACUAAAAAUUCGAAUGAUACAAAGAUUACAAUGGACCCUGCACAAGGAUAACACAAAAAUUCAUGAAGCAUUCCAUACUUUU